rnacentral:rRNA from 1 species
AGAGCGAACGCUGGCGGCAGGCCUAACACAUGCAAGUCGAGCGCGUGUAGCAAUACACGAGCGGCAGACGGGAGAGUAACACGUGGGAACGCGCCCUUCGGUUCGGAAUAACUCAGGGAAACUUGAGCUAAUACCGGAUACGCCCUUACGGGGAAAGAUUUAUUGCCGAAGGAACGGCCCGCGUCCGAUUAGCUAGUUGGUGAGGUAACGGCUCACCAAGGCGACGAUCGGUAGCUGGUCUGAGAGGAUGACCAGCCUCACUGGGACUGAGACACGGCCCAGACUCCUACGGGAGGCAGCAGUGGGGAAUAUUGGACAAUGGGCGCAAGCCUGAUCCAGCCAUGCCGCGUGGAUGAUGAAGGCCUUAGGGUUGUAAAGUCCUUUUAACGGGGAAGAUAAUGACGGUACCGUAGAAUAAGCCCGGCUAACUUCGCGCCAGCAGCCGC